rnacentral:rRNA from 1 species
GGAUCAAUAUGUUGGUCGUGCUUUGGUACGUACUAGUUUAUUGGUUUCUUCCUUCUGACGAACCAUAAUGUCAUUUAUUUGAUGUUAUGGGGAAUUAGGACUGUUACCUUGAAAAAAUUAGAGUGUUUAAAGCAAGCUUACGCUUGAAUACAUUAGCAUGGAAUAAUGAAAUAGGACAUCAGAUUCUAUUUUGUUGGUUUCUAGGAUCGAUGUA